UCCAUUAUCUCUCUUUCUUUCUUCAAUCUUCUUCUUCUUCUGUUCCCUGGAGAACCAUUAACAAUCGCCUUUGUACUAACACCACCAUCAACAACAACGUCAAAAACAACCAAAUCUCUGUUACAAUCAAUAAACCGUCGAUUAGAUUUCAUACCUUCCUUCAUGAAACAAGGUUCAGUAAAUUUUGAGUUCUAGAUUUAGGUUUUUUAAUGGGUUUUCAAAGUUUUGAAGUUAAUGAUUUCGAGUGAAAUAGUGAUUGAUCGAGUGGAUUUUAAGUUUUUUUGGAGAUGAUUAGGUGUUAUUGAAGGAAGAACACAAAUUUCAGAGAGGUUGAAUCUCUUUCUCCAUCAAAGGGAGCUUCAAUAAAGAUCAUGGUGAUUCAAAACGAUAACUUCUUUAAACCCAAUUCCAUUUUUCAUUGCAUAGUCACAUCUAUGUUGUCUAAUUUUUGUUUAAUCGAAAUAUUGAAUUUAGGAUUCUGUAAAAUUCAUUUUAGGGUUUUGAGAGUUGGGAACUCUGUUUGAAACGUGAAUUUUUUAGGAGGAAGGGGAGAAUGAGAAUUUCGACAGUGUAAUUAAGACGAAGAAGAUGAGGGGAAACAGGGGGAGUUUAUGAGAUUAAUGGCUUAAGAAAAAAACAGAUUCAGAAGAUUCAGAUACAAGGUGGCAGGAGAGCAAAGAGAAGAAUUGUGCUAGUGGAAGUACAAGUAGAAGAAGAAGCAGAAGAACACCACCUCCACAUUCUUUUUCUGUGGAGAAUAAAGAUGUCUGUGGAGACACUUUUUCCAUUUAUAUUUUGAUUUACAAUUACAAUUUAUAUCCUUAUUUUUCUGUGAUUUUUUGUUUAUGAGAUUAAUUAUUUGUUGUCAAUAAGUAGGGGAAAGAAGAGGAGUUUUUAAGAUGUCACCAAUGUGUUGGUUUGAAAUACAAAGGGGUGGUUGUUUGUUGCAAAAAUUGUGAAGUUAAACAGUAAUAGAGAAGUUGAUCUAAUAUGAACUAAUUUAUGUUUUUAUGUUCAUGGUGCACAGGUAUCCUGGGCAUACAACUGAAGUGAUUGCAGAGUCUUUCCCAUUUUGUCGUGGAAGCUAUAAUUGCAAAACCAUGAUUGCAUUUUGGCAACAUGUCUAAGGAUUUGAAGAGCCAGAAAAUGAAGAUGGAGGCAGAAGAGAGACUUAAAUAUUAUAAAUAUUUGUUACAAGCACUUUUACCAGUCUUAAGUCAAAUCCACGAAGAGCAAGUAAUGGAAAAGGAGAUCGAGGCAAAGAUUCAAUGUGCCUGGCUUAAGCUUGUUCAUCAUUCACCCUUUUUAUAUUGUCCGUUUUUGAGUUAAGCAAUAUGUUCUUUACUUAGAAUAAAUAUUCUCCAAGAUCAAAGUAAUGUAUGUUGAAAAGUGUUGGGUUAGGCUCAUGCUUUUUUUAUAUCAGUCAACUGUUUAUGGUCUUUCCAGUUAUUUGUAGUUAUCUCACUACCUUCAUGUUCUUUUAUCUAGAAAAUAGGCCUUACAGUUGAGAGUGUACGAGACUGCAAUCGAGUUGUUGUACGUCUUCCUUCCUACACAAAGGCCUGGUAUAGGAGAGGGAUGGCAAAUUCUUCUAUGGGAAACUACGAGGAUGCAAUCCAGGAUCUAGAUAUGCCAUGAACAUGGAACUUUCCUAGGGUGGAAACAGUAAUAUAAAAGAGGAACUUGAGAUAAUUAAAACACAAAGUCGCGGAGUAAAAAACUCACCUAAGAAGGCCAGCAAUAUGAAUUGUAGCUCCAUUGAAGGUGGUUCACAUAAUGCAGCCGCGUCAUAGCCAAGCAUUUUUUUUCUUUUGCCUCGCCCUAAAGAUUGAAUUAUAAUUGUUGAUAUGAUAGUAGGGCCACUUCCCUGUUCAUUAUGUUCAAUGACACUGUACUGUUCCCAGUAUUUCCAAAAGCAAGCAAUUGGUCAAAAGCCUGGGACUGAUCUAAACGGUAAUCCUACUUCAGGAAAUGUAUCGACUGACCUUAAGCGAUAUGUUGAGAGGAUCUCAUUGGAGAACAAUUCUGGGCACCCUGUUGCUGAUUCAAAUCCUACCUGGGUGGCUGCACACAGAUAUGUAUGUGGCGGUGUACAUUGGCCAGCAGUUUUACCUGCUGAAAUAGUUUUGGCAGGUCGAUUUCUAGUAAAAGAAAUAGAGAAGAGGAAGUACUCCAAGGGGGCUAUGGAUUCACCCGAAGCUUUGCUAUCUUAUGCAGAUGAAGUUUCACUGAGUGGGUUUUCGCAGAAACACAGAUGACAGAUGAGAUUAAUGAGAAGAUUGAGAACAUGAAGCAGGUUCAGGGAGCGUUGUGAAACCCCAUUGGAGCAGCUGCUGACUUUGGAUGAAUUGGAAUCUGAACUCGAGGAGUUGGAAGGAGCUGAGUUGGAGGAACAACUUUUACAACCUGCAACCAUGGUAAUCAUGUUAUGAUGAAAAAGCUUUGACGAAGAAGAUUUUGCACAAGUAGUUGCAGCUUCACCACCUGCAACUCUACCAUCUACAGUUCACAGUUGAUAGUCAAAAGUUCCAGCUGGAGUGAUCAAAGCUUAACCAACUAAUGAAAGCUUAAGGGAUUGAAUGGUUGGCUCCAUUUGGGGUUCUAAUAAUCUUUCGAGGGGUUUCCCGUUGGUGUUUCUCCGACUACUUGAGAUGUUGGAAGGACAAGAGGGCUUAUACCCCAGAAAGCAUAUUCAAGCGAGAGGUUCUACCAUUAAAUGGCAUCCAUUAGCUCCCUUUGUAGCUGCAAGUUUUGAGUAACUUUCUGCUUAUAGUGAUUUAGAGAAUGAACUGAACUUAGGAACUUAGUAGGUUUCUAUGACUUUCCUCAGAAUUUGAUACUUAACAAUAACAUAUCUUUUUGGUACUUAAUAGAAUUUCUAUUCUUUUUGAAUUUUUAUUCUUCUUUGAAUUGAUUGAAUGUUGAUAUGAAUUGAUUGAAAAAAAUAUUGAAUGUAGAUUAUGGAUAAAUGAAAGAUGUAUGUAGGAUAUUUGGAAUGCCAGGCGUAUUUCCGGCAGA